GUAUUCAUCCAGGUCAGAUUACCACCAGAGGGCGUCUGACAGCUCAUUCCCUGGGGAUGUCAGCUGAGCCACGGCACCUGCUGACCUGCCCGGGGCGCGGAAAUAGGGGAAAGGGCACUAGAGAGAGAAAGCCAAGGACGUGACCAGGUGACAAAUGGACAAGAAGAGGAAGAAAGACAGAUUCUGCCCAUGUCCACAGGCCCUGGGAUUAGGGCUGCGUGGGGUAGAUGCUCCAGGAGCAGCAAGCCAUGGGGGCUAAGAGCUCUUCCCUCUUAUUUUGGAAGCUGUCAUCAUCUGCUUUGGAGGAGCUACUUCUCCCUCCUCGGAAUCUUGAGGGAACUGUCAAUCAAGGUACUUUUCACCUUUGCCAAAGUUGAACCUGAGAUCCCAGCCAAGCCAGGACUUUGAACAUUGCGUGUAAUGACAUAGAUAGAGAAAACAGUUGAGCUGAGGUAU
rnacentral:lncRNA from 1 species